UAUCAUUAUAGAUUAGAGUCUUGGGACCAUGAUGCUUUGCUGCACAUUCAGACCAGUCAGAAAGAGCAGAGCAGCAGGGCAAAGCAUGGAGGACAUAGCAGCAAACUGAACCUGGAGUGAGACAGAAGUCUUGUAGUGACGGCGCCAUUCUUUACUGUUAUUGAUGACCCCUCAUGAUCUCUGGCUACGUUGCGCUCAGUCUUCGUCCACUUACAGCACAGGUGGUGGCUUCGCCUUGUAGGUUCAAUCCAUGGCAGCCACUAUAGUGGACCAGGCCUAAAGAUGUCUGUCCUCCGUUUAUAAAUAAAGU